UAGGGUGUCGGGUGGCCUGUGUGGGGGACGCCACGGGGCUCAGUGAUGUCACCAGCCACGCCUGACUCCCUUCUGGAACUUUCCAGAGAAACCGUCUAGAGGAGGGAAGGGGUGGGAGGACAUGCUAGGUUUCUCCCACCCUUUAUUCCUUUCUCUGCUUUAUUUGUGUCUCAUUUUGUGCCUUUCCUUGGUUGGAGAGUCAACAUACUGGAGAAAAGGCAAGGGGCAGAUCACAGAAGACCAUGUAUGUCUUACUAAGGAGUUUACAUUUUAUUUAAUGAAAAUAGGGAAGUAUUGAGGGGGUGUUAAAAAGGCUCCUGCAGCACAUGAGGCUUCCCAGCGACCAUCUCCUGCGGUUAGCUCUUCUUAGCUCUUCUCCAGCACUGAACUUCUGCAGGAUGCUGACAGCCUCUCCAGUUUCCUGGCUCCUGCAGUGCCUGGCAGCCAGCAGCACCUAGUAGCAGCAGCUUCCUCCAGAGAAAGCAUCCAUCCCCACUCCCAGCCAGGUUUUGUAGCAGAGCAUUUACAGCUUCUCCAGUGCCAGGCGCCUGCAAUAUGUAGCACCCAGCAGCAGGCAGCUUCUCCUAGAAACACAUUAGGCGGUUUUGUAGUUCACUAUUUGUGAAGACCUGGAGAAGAAGCCAGAAGAAAAGAAGAUAGGCUAGGCACAGUGGCUCAUACCUGUAAUCCUAGCAC